CAGACACCAUGGUGAGGGGUGCCUUGUCAGUGAAGAGAUGGAAAGGGCAGCAGCAGUGCAAGCUUCCCCAUGCUUCCCCCUCCAGUGAGCCGCAACACUGGCCUACAGGGACCACCCCUAAGUGGUUGACAGGUGCCCUCUUCUUCACGGCCCCCUCAAUCAUCUGCUCUC
rnacentral:sRNA from 1 species